rnacentral:rRNA from 1 species
AAAUUGAAGAGUUUGAUCAUGGCUCAGAUUGAACGCUGGCGGCAGGCCUAACACAUGCAAGUCGAGCGGAAACGAGUUAUCAGAACCUUCGGGGAACGAUAACGGCGUCGAGCGGCGGACGGGUGAGUAAUGCCUAGGAAAUUGCCCUGAUGUGGGGGAUAACCAUUGGAAACGAUGGCUAAUACCGCAUGAUGCCUACGGGCCAAAGAGGGGGACCUUCGGGCCUCUCGCGUCAGGAUAUGCCUAGGUGGGAUUAGCUAGUUGGUGAGGUAAGGGCUCACCAAGGCGACGAUCCCUAGCUGGUCUGAGAGGAUGAUCAGCCACACUGGAACUGAGACACGGUCCAGACUCCUACGGGAGGCAGCAGUGGGGAAUAUUGCACAAUGGGCGCAAGCCUGAUGCAGCCAUGCCGCGUGUGUGAAGAAGGCCUUCGGGUUGUAAAGCACUUUCAGUCGUGAGGAAGGUAGUGUAGUUAAUAGCUGCAUUAUUUGACGUUAGCGACAGAAGAAGCACCGGCUAACUCCGUGCCAGCAGCCGCGGUAAUACGGAGGGUGCGAGCGUUAAUCGGAAUUACUGGGCGUAAAGCGCAUGCAGGUGGUUUGUUAAGUCAGAUGUGAAAGCCCGGGGCUCAACCUCGGAAUUGCAUUUGAAACUGGCAGACUAGAGUACUGUAGAGGGGGUAGAAUUUCAGGUGUAGCGGUGAAAUGCGUAGAGAUCUGAAGGAAUACCGGUGGCGAAGGCGGCCCCCUGGACAGAUACUGACACUCAGAUGCGAAAGCGUGGGGAGCAAACAGGAUUAGAUACCCUGGUAGUCCACGCCGUAAACGAUGUCUACUUGGAGGUUGUGGCCUUGAGCCGUGGCUUUCGGAGCUAACGCGUUAAGUAGACCGCCUGGGGAGUACGGUCGCAAGAUUAAAACUCAAAUGAAUUGACGGGGCCCGCACAAGCGGUGGAGCAUGUGGUUUAAUUCGAUGCAACGCGAAGAACCUUACCUACUCUUGACAUCCAGAGAACUUUCCAGAGAUGGAUUGGUGCCUUCGGGAACUCUGAGACAGGUGCUGCAUGGCUGUCGUCAGCUCGUGUUGUGAAAUGUUGGGUUAAGUCCCGCAACGAGCGCAACCCUUAUCCUUGUUUGCCAGCGAGUAAUGUCGGGAACUCCAGGGAGACUGCCGGUGAUAAACCGGAGGAAGGUGGGGACGACGUCAAGUCAUCAUGGCCCUUACGAGUAGGGCUACACACGUGCUACAAUGGCGCAUACAGAGGGCAGCCAACUUGCGAAAGUGAGCGAAUCCCAAAAAGUGCGUCGUAGUCCGGAUUGGAGUCUGCAACUCGACUCCAUGAAGUCGGAAUCGCUAGUAAUCGUGGAUCAGAAUGCCACGGUGAAUACGUUCCCGGGCCUUGUACACACCGCCCGUCACACCAUGGGAGUGGGCUGCAAAAGAAGUAGGUAGUUUAACCUUCGGGGGGACGCUUACCACUUUGUGGUUCAUGACUGGGGUGAAGUCGUAACAAGGUAGCGCUAGGGGAACCUGGCGCUGGAUCACCUCCUUAAACGAUGAU